rnacentral:rRNA from 1 species
CCUACGAGUGGCAGCAGUGAGGAAUAUUGGUCAAUGGACGAGAGUCUGAACCAGCCAAGUAGCGUGAAGGAUGACUGCUCUAUGGGUUGUAAACUUCUUUUAUAUGGGAAUAACAUGUUCCCCGUGUGGGAUUUUGUAUGUACCAUAUGAAUAAGGAUCGGCUAACUACGUGCCAGCAGCCGCGGUAAUACGCAGGGUCCGAGCGUUAUCCGGAUUUAUUGGGUUUAAAGGGAGCGUAGGUGGAUUGUUAAGUCAGUUGUGAAAGUUUGCGGCUCAACCGGAAAAUUGCAGUUGAAACUGGCAGUCUUGAGUACAGGAGAGGUAGGCGGAAUUCGUGGUGUAGCGGUGAAAUGCUUAGAUAUCAGGAAGAACUCCGAUUGCGAAGGCAGCUCACUGGACUGCAACUGACACUGAGGCUCGAAAGUGUGGGUAUCAAACAGGAUUAGAUACCCGGGUAGUC